ACACUCCCGAGUGAAAUUGUUGAGUUUCCUUUGGUGAGUUUUUGCGAGUUUGAGAAAAACAAGAGAUUUGGACACUAUUCCGACACACAUCGUGUAAGGCUUAAUUCAAAACUAUCAACCACAAAAACCAGAUGAGAACAGAACACAAUUUUUUUUUUUGUCAAAACCUGGAAAACAGGGUACGAGACGUAUUGGUCAUUGCUGUGAGACUUGGAAGCGAGGGAAACAAAGAGAGAUUUGAGAUCAUCAAGCUUCUUCUGAGUAAAAGCUCUGCAACAAAACACACACACACAAUUGAUAAGAUCGAUUUUCAAAUUAGAAAUUAGAGAGUGAAAGUGAGAUUGGUUCCGAUGAAGACCUGGAAGCAGAAGUGAAGCGAUGAUCAACAGAAGACGAAUUCAAAUUCCCAUUUUCGACGGAUUUUUUUCUCUCCUCAGUUCUCCGGCAGCAGAGUAAAAUAUAAAAGUUGGUGAGUUGAAAUCACACAAAGAAGAGAAAAUAAGAAAGAUAAUAAAAGGACGAGGCAAACACGAAGAGCUCACAACGAGAUUCAUGCUUUCAGAUUUCAACUGUCACCGGAAGUUGGAAGUUCGUUUGUGAUAGGAUCUAAACAAGUAUCAAAGUCUACAAAUUCUGGAUUAAGCAAGUUAAAGACUUGUGAUUCCCCUGUAUCUUCAACAACCUCGUCUUCCAAAACUUUAUCCAAAGACAUCUGUGGAUAGCCAUAGCAAGCCGCAGUUACAUUAUACAGGAAAGCUGCAAAGAUCUUCCAAGUGAAAAAGGGUAGUGAGUUCUCUGAUUCAUACAUGGAAAGUGUUGUGAAGAACAUAGUUGUGGAUGAAAAAGAAGAGAACCCAAGAGUUGGUCUUAUGGUUAUGCCUGGGUUUUGGAUUGGUGGCAGUGUCAUUCAAAGCCGAGUUUAUGUUUCUGGUGUGAAGGUCCUUGAGUGAAGGAUCUCAGGAACUCUCUUAAUGCUUCUUCCCACUUUGUUGUGCAACUUUUAUUUUCUCUUUGUUAUAAGCAAGCCUAUAUGUAUCAUCUAUUGUUAAAAAAAAAUGGAAUU